AUUGAACGCUGGCGGCAGGCCUAACACAUGCAAGUCGAACGAGUGGCGGACGGGUGAGUAAUGUCUGGGAAACUGCCCGAUGGAGGGGGAUAACUACUGGAAACGGUAGCUAAUACCGCAUACCAUCGGAUGUGCCCAGAUGGGAUUAGCUAGUUGGGGGGGUAACGGCUCACCAAGGCGACGAUCCCUAGCUGGUCUGAGAGGAUGACCAGCAACACUGUAACUGAGACACGGUCCAGACUCCGACGGGAGGCAGCAGUGGGGAAUAUUGCACAAUGGGCGCAAGCCUGAUGCAGCCAUGCCGCGUGUAUGAAGAAGGCCUUCGGGUUGUAAAGUACUUUCAGCGAGGAGGCGUUACCCGCAGAAGAAGCACCGGCUAACUCCGUGCCAGCCGCCGCGGUAAUUC
rnacentral:rRNA from 1 species